rnacentral:lncRNA from 1 species
AUGAGAAACAGUCAAAAACAUCACAUUAUAAAGUCAAAAUCACUCAAAGAAAAUCAAUACAUUUCAUUAUAACAUCAAAUCAUCUAAGAGAAGUUAUUAUCACGCACGAAACAUAUUAAUCACAACAAAACAAUCACAAGAAAACACAACGAUAUGCAUGAUACUCUACUUCAUAAUUUGGUACCAUUAUAAGUCUAAAGAACUUGGUUAUAAGGCUUGAUACUAAACCACCACCCGAGUGGACGGACAAUUCAAAUUGGACAUGUCCUCAUAGAUCCCCUCAACUAAACCCGAGACACACAGACACGACAAUCGAGAUAAACGUGUGUUAUAUGGUAGCUCCCGACAUUUGGAGUGCUACGUCGAAGUUACCUAGGAGUUCCCCACUGAAAUACCUCUAAAGUCUAAUAAUUUUGCCUUAAGGCUCAACAAAAGACCGUCACGGUCAAACUCUAAAGUCUAAUUUGUUUGAAACUUGAUCUAGAGAAUAACCAAAUUGUAGCUGAAAAUUUGCUAUGAUGAUACAAAAAAUAUGUCAAAUAUUUAAUAAGUGAUAUUACGAGCAGAAACAGAGUUGAAAUUAUGGAAGGAGGAAAAAAUAAUGGUUGGUGGAUCUUACCGACAUGAAUGACUCGAAACGGUGGUUAUGGAUAACAACAACCCUUAAAUUAAAAUUAACAACGCAUUAGCAUCUAACUUUAAUUAUGACAGGUUCAGAAUAAGAUGAACAACGAAUUCUAGAUUCAUCGAAAAACAUUUAAUUACCGUAACGCCGCCGCCGUCGGAUUUUUGUGAAUGUUGGUGAAACUGAAAAACAAAAGAUAUAGAACAAAGCUUUUCGUUGUUUCUCUGCACCAAUAAAGAGGCUAGAAAAUCUUCACGACAAUGUUGAUGGUGGAAAAUAAUAGGUCACAGUUUGGUUUCUCCUUCACAUGACAAAUAAAUGAGAGUGAUUUUGAUGAAGAUAACGAAUGGAGAAGGAGGAUAUUGGGUUACAAAGAU